CCUUUGGAAGUCUCACCAGGCUGAGCAGGACUUAGAGGAACUCCGGCUACGUUUGCUGUCCCAACAAAUAGACCAGGUAUAGAGAGAACAGGCCCUGUGAGAGAGCCUCACACUUGCUGCCUCCUCUGCCUGGAACUCUCUCCCUCUGCUCUCACAGGGUUCCCUAAGUGUCGCUUCCUCCAAGAAGCCCUCCCUGAUGAGUUGAGCCACUUUAGUUUGUGCUCAGGCUCACCCUGCACGUCUUGGUUGCUCUCAUCACUGUAAUGAUCUAAAACACACGUCUGCUCAUGAGACCCGCAUCCCACCCCCGAUGCUGGGGCCGCUCUUGGAUUUUCAUGCCUGCUGCCAGCACCCAGGGGGAGCUCCGGAAAUGUCUGCUGGGGGCUCGGAAUACCCACCUUUCUGGUAAUGCAGCCCAGCGGGUCCCAGCCUCGUUUUCCAGCCCUCACUCAAAAUGGAGUCGCUCUGGUUCGAACGCCUCUGACAAGUGUGUACCUACGUGUCAGGCCCAUCCUUCCUGCAGGCCUUUGUCUUGGUGUCACCCUGCCUGAGCUGGCCCCAACCACAGUAGCAACAGUGAUGCUGAUGUGUGACUGCUGCCAGGAGCCUGCUCACAUGACCGUGUGGAGAAAGUUCUUUCCCUGAGGACCAUCUGGAGUGGACGCGUGCACUACCCCUCUCUGAAUACACCCUCCCCACGAGGCCCUCUGGAGCAUCCUGUAGAGCCAGCCCCUACCCAGAGACCCUGAGCCCAGAGAAUGCGCUGGGUGGUGAGCCUGGGGACGAAUGCAGAGCCCUAGGUCUCCUCUCCAGAAAGACCGGAUUUUGCCAUGUUGGCCAGGCUGGUCUUGAACUCCUGACCUCAAGUGAUCCACCUGCCUCGGCCUCCCAAAGUGCAGGGAUUACAGGUGUGAGCCACUGCACCCGGCCUCAGGCAGGUAUUUUUACCAGCCGAAUACUCUUGCACUGUGCACUCUUCGUGUUCAUCAUCAGUCCCCCGGAUGGGUGUUUAAGGCAUUUCCAAAGCUCUGUUAUUAAAAACACGAUGCAAUGAGUUUCUUUCAGCAUUUCCCCUUGUUGCCGUGUGAAUGCGUCCGUGGUAUAACUUCCUAAAAGUGGAAUCGCUUGGUCAAAGGGUGGGUGCAUUUAGCAACCUGAUGGCUUUCCAGGAGACAAGUGCUGCCUCCCGGCCACGAGCUUUUAAGAAGAACUGUUGAUGGAACCCGAGCUGGAGUCCCAGGGACCGGGGCGAGUUCUCCAUCCCAGGGGAUUUUCAGAUGGGACACUGGGGAGAAGCUGCCCUGCCCAUCUGAACUCUAUGAUCCCAGUACUAACACUGGUAGCUGUGCCAUCCCCAGUAUAGAGACAGCACCGUGCUCUUGGGAGGGUGAGUCAUUGGCCCCCG
rnacentral:lncRNA from 1 species